GUGGGGAAUAUUGGACAAUGGGCGAAAGCCUGAUCCAGCCAUGCCGCGUGUGUGAAGAAGGUCUUCGGAUUGUAAAGCACUUUAAGUUGGGAGGAAGGGCAGUAAGUUAAUACCUUGCUGUUUUGACGUUACCAACAGAAUAAGCACCGGCUAACUUCGUGCCAGCAGCCGCGGUAAUACAAAGGGUGCAAGCGUUAAUCGGAAUUACUGGGCGUAAAGCGCGCGUAGGUGGGUCAGCAAGUUGGAGGUGAAAUCCCCGGGCUCAACCUGGGAACUGCCUCCAAAACUGCAUGACUAGAGUACGGUAGAGGGUAGUGGAAUUUCCUGUGUAGCGGUGAAAUGCGUAGAUAUAGGAAGGAACACCAGUGGCGAAGGCGACUACCUGGACUGAUACUGACACUGAGGUGCGAAAGCGUGGGGAACAAACAGGAUUAGAUACCCUGGUAGUCC
rnacentral:rRNA from 1 species